CAACAUGAGCAUCCCUGACUACGUGCAGUGUGCUGAGGACCACCAGACUUUCCCCGUGGUGGUCGAACACGUGGGGAUCAUCUCAGAGGAGAAUUUCUUUUGCAUCUAUAAGUGAAUCACCUUGGUGAGUCAGAUCAGUCCGUGCAGCUCCCAGUGGGCAAACUGUAUCCACUACAGUCACCACUAUGCGCCCAAGAAUGGGUGGAGCGACUUCCAGACCCACCGCAAGGUCUUGGGCCUUGUCAUCAUUACUGACUGCCUCUCGGCCAAGGCUUCGAAAAGCUCCACGUGCAGAGGAGCUGUAUGGCACCACGCUCUAUGACUCUCAGCUCUUUGACUUUCUGCUGCAUGGGGAGGUGGCCGAGCAGCCGCGCACCGAAGUGGCCUUCAAUUUACGAGGACUGCAGGGAGGUGGAGAAGAGGAUCGACGACUUCACUGAGUCACUCUUCAUCUUGCCCAAGUCCAAGUGGCUGGACGGUGCAUCCGACAAUUCUGGGGACAAGAUCCUCCUUCUCUGCAUCCCAUUUGAGAAGGAGGACAUCAUGGGACUGGACACAGAAAGCAGUACGUUUUGGUUACUGAGUCCCUCGAAUUCCCAUAUGAAUAGUAGCAGCAGCUAGUCAGUUACUGCAGAGGAGCCCGCUGGGAUUGUGAUCGAGACCACGUUGAGUAUACAGAUCGCUCUGGGGAGCACUGCCAUCCCAAGAGCGUUGUCAUGUGAUCCAGGAAUGUGCGUGGUGUGUCUGUACAGAGUUCUAUGUAUAGUUGGUUACAUUCUAUACCUGGAAAUUUCUCCAAAACUGCUUCCCACGUGCCCUCACCUCCAGUGGCAUCCAUCCAGACACCAGCACUGACACUGGCUGUGCUCAGAACUGCCUCAGCCCUGAAGACACAACUGACAAAUAGAAGGGGGCUACGCCCUAUGACAGCAGGUGCUCUCACUUUGUGGGUCCUUAUGUAACUGCACGAUGUUAAUCAGGA